AACGAACGCUGGCGGCAUGCCUAACACAUGCAAGUCGAACGAGAUCUUCGGGUCUAGUGGCGCACGGGUGCGUAACGCGUGGGAAUCUGCCCUUUGGUUCGGAAUAACAGUUGGAAACGACUGCUAAUACCGGAUGAUGACGAAAGUCCAAAGAUUUAUCGCCAGAGGAUGAGCCCGCGUAGGAUUAGUUAGUUGGUGUGGUAAAGGCGCACCAAGGCGACGAUCCUUAGCUGGUCUGAGAGGAUGAUCAUCCACACUGGGACUGAGACACGGCCCAGACUCCUACGGGAGGUAGCAGUGGGGAAUAUUGGACAAUGGGCGAAGGCCUGAUCCAGCAAUGCCGCGUGAGUGAUGAAGGCCUUAGGGUUGUAAAGCUCUUUUACCCGGGAUGAUAAUGACAGUACCGGGAGAAUAAGCUCCGGCUAACUCCGUGCCAGCCGCCGCCGUAA
rnacentral:rRNA from 1 species